ACGGCUCAGUAACACGUAGCCAACUGCCUUAAGACAUGAAUAACCCCGGGAAACUGGGACUAAAUCGUGAUAGGCACGGAUCUCUGGAAUUGAAUCCGUGCUUAAAGGGGUGAAUGAGCAUGUUUUGUUCAUCUGCUUAAGGAUGGGGCUACGGCCGAUCAGGCUGUUGGCGGGGUAACGGCCCACCAAACCUUUGACAGGUACGGGCUUUGAGAGAAGGAGCCCGGAGAUGGACACUGAGAUAAGGGUCCAGGCCCUAUGGGGCGCAGCAGGCGCGAAACCUCCACAAUGAGCGAAAGCUUGAUGGGGUUACUCCGAGUGUCGUCCGCUAAGGAUGACUUUUCUUAAGUCUAAAUCGCUUGAGGAAUAAGGGGAGGGCAAGUCUGGUGUCAGCCGCCGCGGUAAUACCAGCUCCCCGAGUGGUCGGGACGGUUAUUUGGCCUAAAGCAUCCGUAGCCCGUCCUGCAAGUCUUCCGUUAAAUCUAACGGCUCAACCGUUAGGCUGCGGAAGAUACCGCAGGACUAGGGGACGGGAGAGGCGGACGGUACUCCGGGGGUAGGGGUAAAAUCCUCUGAUCCUCGGAAGACCACCAGCGGCGAAGGCGGUCCGCCAGAACGUGCCCGACGGUGAGGGAUGAAAGCUGGGGGAGCGAACCGGAUUAGAUACCCGGGUAGUCCCAGCCGUAAACGAUGCGAGCUAGGUGACAGAAUGGCCUAAGGGCCAUUCUGCUGCCGCAGGGAAGCCGUUAAGCUCGCCGCCUGGGGAGUACGGACGCAAGUCUGAAACUUAAAGGAAUUGGCGGGGGAG
rnacentral:rRNA from 1 species